UAAAUCAUAUUAUAUUCAACCAUUAAACUAUCAUUCCAAUUUCAAAACAUAAGCCAAUUUCAAAUUGUAACACAACCAUACAUUUGAUUCAAUCUCCAUAUUCUAACAUUCAAUUUCAUACAUUUAACCAUGAAUAACCAUACAUACAUUCAAAUUUCAUUCCAAUUAUAACCCUACAUUACAACAUUUCAAAUUACAACAAAAUUGCCACAAGUCCCUAGUUCAAUUCCAAGUUACAAAAAUUACAACAUAGUCCAAGCAUCCAACAUGCACUUCA
rnacentral:lncRNA from 1 species